rnacentral:rRNA from 1 species
AUUGAACGCUGGCGGCAUGCUUUACACAUGCAAGUCGAACGGUAACAGGGUGCUUGCACCGCUGACGAGUGGCGAACGGGUGAGUAAUGCGUCGGAACGUGCCGAGUAGUGGGGGAUAACGCAGCGAAGGUUGUGCUAAUACCGCAUACGUACUGAGGUAGAAAGUGGGGGACCUUCGGGCCUCACGCUAUUCGAGCGGCCGACGUCUGAUUAGCUAGUAGGUGAGGUAAAGGCUCACCCAGGCGACGAUCAGUAGCGGGGCUGAGAGGAUGGUCCGCCACACUGGGACUGAGACACGGCCCAGACGCGAACGGGAGGGAGCAGUGGGGAAUUGUGGACAAUGGGCGAAAGCCUGAUCCAGCCAUGCCGCGUGUCUGAAGAAGGCCUUCGGGUUGUAAAGGACUUUUGUCAGGGAGGAAAUCCCUAGUGCUAAUAACACUGGGGGAUGACAGUACCUGAAGAAUAAGCACCGGCUAACUACGUGCCAGCCGCCGCCGUAA